AGGCUGCAUUUGGUGCUGAUGUUGCAUGUUUUUUUCCAUAGACUCCAAGUCCAGAAGGGACCACUGUGAUCACCCAGUCUGGCUGAGUUACACGGGGAUGGAUACCCCCCUGAGAGAGAUUUUCUAUGCCAGUGGUAUUUGAUGAUGUCGCUGUCUAUUUCUCCCGGGAGGAGUGGGACAUGUUUGCGGAGUGGCAGAAGGAGCUGUACCGGGAGGUGAUGACGGAGAACUAUGAAAUGCUGCUUUCUUUGGGCUCUGGGCCAGCCUGAAACUCUUAUAUCGUGGCAG